rnacentral:ncRNA from 1 species
GAACGCCGUAUGACGGGAAACCGUCACGUACGGUGUGAACCGGGGGAAAAUAGCUCCAACAAUGGAUGACUAUUACCUAUCGGUAU